GGGUCAGUAGGUUGGUCGUGCCACCGGUACGUACUGGUCUCACUGAUUCCUCCUUCUGAAGAACCGUAAUGCCAUUAAUUUGGUGUUGCGGGGAAACAGGACUGUUACUUUGAAAAAAUUAGAGUGUUUAAAGCAAGCUAACGCUUGAAUACAUUAGCAUGGAAUAAUGAAAUAGGACGAUCGAUCCUAUUUUGUUGGUUUCUAGGAUUGACGUA
rnacentral:rRNA from 1 species